UACGUAGGGUGCAAGCGUUACUCGGAAUUACUGGGCGUAAAGAGCUCGUAGGCGGUUCGUCGCGUCGGCUGUGAAAUCCCGAGGCUCAACCUCGGGUCUGCAGUCGAUACGGGCGGACUGGAGUUCGGCAGGGGAGACUGGAAUUCCUGGUGUAGCGGUGAAAUGCGCAGAUAUCAGGAGGAACACCGGUGGCGAAGGCGGGUCUCUGGGCCGAUACUGACGCUGAGGAGCGAAAGCGUGGGGAGCGAACAGG
rnacentral:rRNA from 1 species